rnacentral:tRNA from 1 species
GCCUGACUGGCUUAUUUGGUAGAGCAUGUGACUCUUGAUCUCAGGGUUGUUAAGUUCAAGCCUUAUGUUGGGUA